GUGCUGGCUUUAUCAGCAUAUAUGUGCAUGUUUGAACGAUAAAGAGAAAAUUAACAUGGUCCCUGUACAAGUGGCUGUACCCAAUCAAUAACUGAUUUGACUUAAG
ensembl:snRNA U6 U6 spliceosomal RNA